rnacentral:lncRNA from 1 species
UUUUUUUCUGGGUUAAUAUAUUCAGAAGUUGGCCUUUUUUUUUUUUUUUUUUUUGAGACAGAGUUUCGCUCUUGUUGCCUAGGCUGGAGUGCAAUGGCAUGAUCUUUGCUCACUGCAACCUCCACCUCCCAGGUUCAAGCUAUUCUCUUGUCUCAGCCUCCCAAGUAGCUGGGAUUACAGGCAUGUACCACCACACCUGGCUAAUUUUUUGUGUUUUUAGUAGAGAUGGGGUUUCUCCAUGUUGGUCAGGCUGGUCUUGAACUCCCAACCUCAGGUGAUCCACCCGCCUCGGCCUCCCAAAGUGCUGGGAUUACAGGUGUGAGCCACCAUGCCCGGCCAAAGUUGGCCAUUUUAUUUAUUUAGUUUUUCAGAGAAUCAGCUUUUAGGUUUUUAAAUCAUCUGCAUCAUUAUUUCAUUAAUUCUAUUCUUAUUUUUAUUUCUUUCCUCUUACCAUGUUUAGAAUUAAUAUACCAUUUCAUUUCUAGCUUCUAGAGGAUAGUUCCUUGUUUUCUAUGUUUCAUGAUUUUUCAAUAAAUAUAUUUAAAUGGAAUACUAUGCAGCCAUAAAAAAAGAAAAAAAGAAAAAAAAAGUGAAUUUUCUCAUUUAUGUAUAUGAGUAUAUGAGGAAUAUUGGUAUUUAGUUUUCUCUUUUGUAACGUCAUUGUCUGGUCUUGGAAUGAGGGUAAUACAGACCCCACAGCAUGAGGGCAAGUAGUCCCUCCUGUUCAUUUUUCUGGAAGUGGUUGGUUAUUAUUUCUUUCUUAAAUGUUUCCUGGAAUUCACCUGUUAAGCCUUCUGGGACUGGAGUUCUCUUUGUGGGAAAAGUUUUAACUAUAAAUUCAAUUUCUUUAAUACAUAUAGGGCUACAUUGAUUAUCAAUACCUUCUUGAGUAAGUUUGGGGGUUUUAAGGGUUUUCUCCACUUAAUCGAAGUUGCCUAAUUUAUUGGCACAAUUUUUUGGUAAUUUCCUUUAUUGUUUUUUUAAUAUCUGCAAAAUCUGUGGCAUCACCUUCCUUGUUCCUCUGUUUGUCCUGGGUAAUUUGUAUCUUUUCUCUCUUCCUGACCAAUCUAGCAAGAGGCUUAUCAAUUUUGUCACUCUCCUCAAAAAAAAUCUUUAAUUUUGCUAUUUUUUGUUUCCCCUUUUAUUAACUUCUGUUCUAAUCUUUCUUACUUUUUCUUUCUUUUCUGCUUACCUUGAGUUUUCUUUGCUCUUCUUUUUUCUGUUUCUUGAGGCAGAAAAAUCAUUGAGACUUGUCAUCUUUUAUAAUAUAGGUGCUUAGUGCUAUAAAAUUUAAUCUCAGUACUGCUUUAGCUGCAUCUCAUAAAUGUUGAUUUGUUGCAUUUUUAUUUUCAUUCAGUUCAAAAUCUUCCUAGUUUCCCUUCUGAUUUUUUUUUCUUUGAUUCAUGGGAUAUUUAGAAGUGUGCUCUUUCAUUUCCAAAUAUUAUGGGUGUUUCUAUGUAUCAUCUGGUUUGGGUUUACAAUUGAAUUUCUUUAUAAUAAAAGAACGUCAUGUGAUUAAAAUAGUUUCAGAUUUAUUAAGAUUAGUUUUAUGUCCCACCACGUGUACAUGUUCCAUGUGCUCCUGCAAAGAAUGUGAAUUCUGCACUUUUUGAGGAAGUGUUAUAUAGAUGUCAAUUAAAGUGAGUUA